CAGGGAGACAACAAAAUGUUUAAUAUUAUUAUUUUGUCACCUUAGGUCGAUCGGUAUCUCACGUUUUUAAUUUAUUAAGAAUUUCAUUUCCUAAGUUUUUCUAGGUCACACCCAUUAUUUUUCCUGGGCCAUUAGCUCAGGUGGUUAGAGCGCACCCCUGAUAAGGGUGAGGUCCCUGGUUCAAGUCCAGGAUGGCCCAUAUCUCUAUGUUGGGGGUAUAGCUCAGUUGGUAGAGCGCCUGCUUUGCAAGCAGGAUGUCAGCGGUUCGAGUCCGCUUACCUCCACUGAUUACCACCUCUUCCAUAACGGGUAGAAAGGAAAUUUUUUGAGUUGUGAUCAAAUUCUGAAAGAAUCUAGCUUCCUAAUGAAAUCAUUAAGAUGCUGGACUCAUUGAAUUAAUUUCAUUGUUUUCAGAGAACCUUGACAACUGCAUAGAUUAUUUUUAAAGACAAUAAGCAUCUUUAAUGAUGCAGAUUUAUUAUUUGUGCUAAUGCAUUAAUAACAAUUCUAUUAAGCUGAUGCUUCAAUUUUUGAAGUUAUU
rnacentral:tRNA from 1 species